CAGCAGCCGCGGUAAUACGUAGGGUGCAAGCGUUAAUCGGAAUUACUGGGCGUAAAGCGUGCGCAGGCGGUUCGUUAAGACAGAUGUGAAAUCCCCGGGCUUAACCUGGGAACUGCAUUUGUGACUGGCGGGCUAGAGUAUGGCAGAGGGGGGUAGAAUUCCACGUGCAGCAGUGAAAUGCGUAGAGAUGUGGAGGAAUACCGAUGGCGAAGGCAGCCCCCUGGGCCAAUACUGACGCUCAUGCACGAAAGCGUGGGGAGCAAACAGGAUUAGAUACCCCUGUAGUCCCUGUCUCUUAUAC
rnacentral:rRNA from 1 species